rnacentral:rRNA from 1 species
UACAGAGGUCUCAAGCGUUGUUCGGAUUCAUUGGGCGUAAAGGGUGCGUAGGCGGCGCGGUAAGUCGGGUGUGGAAAUCUCGGGGCUUAACUCCGAAACUGCAUUCGAUACUGCCGUGCUUGAGGACUGGAGAGGAGACGUGGAAUUUACGGUGUAGCGGUGAAAUGCGUAGAUAUCGAUGAAGGAAGACCAGUGGCGAAGGCGGGUCUCUGGACAGUUCC